rnacentral:lncRNA from 1 species
AUGAUUUGUGGCACCAAUUCAGAGAAGCUGAUGAGACGGAUGUUGGUAACUGCUAUGACCAACGCUAUGGCUAGUCGGUUCAACUGGGCUGGAAAUAAAGACAAGCGCUACAAGACUGUAUGUUUGCUGGUGGUUUCAUUAUGUGCCAGAGUGGGAGGGUGGAACCAAAGUGACGAGAACCGUCCCCCAUCUGAGACCUAUACAGGGUCAGGAAACAUCACUGCAGACCCUUCACACCUUCUUCAAACUCCUCCCCUCCAGCAGAGAGAGUCAAGUCCACUGAAGUGAAAAUCCUCGUGUGUUUAACAACCAAUAAAGUUGAUAUUGAUUAUGUUAUGUUGUCA